rnacentral:misc_RNA from 1 species
GGAAGGAUCAUUAUCGAACAACGGAUUGUCGCUGGCUAGGUGAUUCUAGCAUGUGCACAUCUAAUCUCUACUUAACACACCUGUGAACCUAUUGUAGAUCGAGAGAUCUAUGUCUUUUCAACACAACACCAAUCAUCGUAUGUCCAUAGAAUGUAAUAAAUUUUAAUACAACUUUCAGCAAUGGAUCUCUUGGUUCUCGCAUCGAUGAAAAACGCAGCGAAUUGCGAUAAGUAAUGUGAAUUGCAGAUUUUCAGUGAAUCAUCGAAUCUUUGAACGCACCUUGCGCUCCUUGGUAUUCCGAGGAGCAUGCCUGUUUGAGUGUCAUUUAAUUAUCAACCAAUGAGUCUUUGAUUAGGCUUUUGGCUUGGACUUGGGAAUUGCUGGCUUUCAGUAGUCGGCUGUCCUUGAAAGCAUUAGCGAGUAAACGUGGCACGGCCUCUCGACGUGAUAAUGAUCGUUGGUGGGCUGGAAGCGUAAUUGCUUAUAAUCUUUACGAACUUGGGAAAGUGCUAUGUGCAUGAAUACUGAGCUAGUAAUACGGAAGUGGAAGUGCUAUGUGCAUACGGCCUGAUCGCUGGAAGCAUAGUGUGGAAACUAGUAGGAAUUAUGAAAGAUGAAAAUGCUAUGUGCAUACGGCCUG